CCCUUAGAUGUUCUGGGCCGCACGCGCGCUACACUGACGAAGUCAGCGAGCAUGUCCUACGCCGACAGGUGCGGGGAAUCUUGUCAAACUUCGUCGUGAUGGGGAUUGAUUAUUGAAAUUCUUGAUCAUCAACGAGGAAUUCCUAGUAAGCGCAAGUCAGCAGCUUGCGUUGAUUACGUCCCUGCCCUUUGUACACACCGCCCGUCGCUACUACCGAUUGAAUGGUUUAGUGAGAUCUUCGGAUUGGCGCUACUGCGGCUCAGCAAUGGGCUCGGUGGAUGCCGAAAAGUUGAUCAAACUUGAUCAUUUAGAGGAAGUAAAAGUCGUAACA
rnacentral:rRNA from 1 species